rnacentral:rRNA from 1 species
UGGGGAAUAUUGGACAAUGGGCGAAAGCCUGAUCCAGCCAUGCCGCGUGAGUGAUGAAGGCCCUAGGGUUGUAAAGCUCUUUCAACGGUGAAGAUAAUGACGGUAACCGUAGAAGAAGCCCCGGCUAACUUCGUGCCAGCAGCCGCGGUAAUACGAAGGGGGCUAGCGUUGUUCGGAAUUACUGGGCGUAAAGCGCACGUAGGCGGAUAUUUAAGUCAGGGGUGAAAUCCCGGGGCUCAACCCCGGAACUGCCUUUGAUACUGGGUAUCUUGAGUUCGAGAGAGGUGAGUGGAAUUCCGAGUGUAGAGGUGAAAUUCGUAGAUAUUCGGAGGAACACCAGUGGCGAAGGCGGCUCACUGGCUCGAUACUGACGCUGAGGUGCGAAAGCGUGGGGAGCAAACA